GGAUUGUGGCUCAGAGGUAGUGUGCUCGCCUAGCAUGCGUGAGGCACUAGGUUCGAUCCUCAGCACCA
rnacentral:tRNA from 1 species